rnacentral:rRNA from 1 species
CAGUCGCCGCGGUAAUACGAAGGGGGCUAGCGUUGUUCGGAUUUACUGGGCGUAAAGCGCACGUAGGCGGGCUUUUAAGUCAGGGGUGAAAUCCCGGGGCUCAACCCCGGAACUGCCUUUGAUACUGGAAGUCUUGAGUAUGGAAGAGGUGAGUGGAAUUCCGAGUGUAGAGGUGAAAUUCGUAGAUAUUCGGAGGAACACCAGUGGCGAAGGCGGCUCACUGGUCCAUUACUGACGCUGAGGUGCGAAAGCGUGGGGAGCAAACAGGAUUAGAUACCCCCGUAGUCCCUGUCUCUUAUAC